GGGCCCGUAGCUUAGUCAGGAAGAGCACCGGGCUUUUAACAAAUUUGGAGGCCACCCGGAAGGAAACAAUCUAAAUGUUUCCUGGGGUAGGGUCGCGGGUUCAAUUCCCGUCGGGCCCG
rnacentral:tRNA from 1 species